UACGUAGGGAGCAAGCGUUGUUCGGAUUUACUGGGCGUAAAGGGCGCGUAGGCGGCAAAUUAAGUCAGCUGUGAAAUCUCCGAGCUUAACUCGGAACUGUCAGCUGAUACUGAUCUGCUAGAGUGCGGAAGGGGCAAUCGGAAUUCUUGGUGUAGCGGUGAAAUGCGUAGAUAUCAAGAGGAACACCUGAGGUGAAGACGGGUUGCUGGGCCGACACUGACGCUGGGUGCGCGAAAGCCAGGGGAGCAAACGGG
rnacentral:rRNA from 1 species